AGAGCCACCACCCUCAAGUGACUUCAUAGGCAGCAAAGUUCCACAAGGGGGCGGGGCAGUCCAGAGCAGACCAAGGUGGGAGAAAUGUGUUUAUGAGUUCUCUGAAAAUUCCCCUGGUGAGUCGGGCGGCACUGUGGGGACAGGAUAGCUCUGCAGCAAACUGAGGUCUUGCAUUCUGCAGAUAGAGACUGAAGUCACUGAAGUCAGGGUUAGAGCUGGGUACCCUUAACACCCACCGGCGGGAAAGGCUCAGUGGACUUUAGUUUAGUAAUGUUCCUGAGGAUGCCCUGGGGAGGAGGCAGAGGCUCAGAGGGAACAGCCACAUGCUACACUGGGGUUCCCAGCUUCACCAGCAUGGCAGUGAGACAGCAGCGAUGCCAGGCCCAAAGGGACAGCAAACAACUCGGCUGUAAUGUGUGGGGACCAAUGUCACAAGGGCCCUGACAUCAAGUAGGAUGGGGAUUAGUCAGAAUCGGUAUCAUUUGAAGAGGACCACAGCUGCGCUGUUUCUCUCAGCGUAUUUGUGGAACGGCAUUAGGUCCUCUGUGUGUGGUCUCAGACCUCUCCCGGGCACGCUGGCAGGGAAGGGAAAGUCCGGUGUGCGUGAGUAAACUUGGAAGGGAAUCCCAGCAGCAGGGACCUAUAGGAGCCAGGCUCUUCCACGUCCUGGAGCCUCCUAGCCGCUAGGAGCCUGGGGACAGCUAGGGGUGAGGUCUGAGGCAUCCUCUGAAGCCAGGAUAGGACAUCCACAGUUCAGUCAUGUGGCCUCUCCCCUGAGCAUAAAUAUAAGUGCCUCAACCUGCAACAACUUAGGAAGCAGAAACCAAACUCCAGCAGGUAAACAAACUGGUGGGAAAUGUGCUUUGCAAGUCGAAGCACCAGAGGAAACUCCAGACUCAGAGGCUCUGCGACCAAAUGCCCCUCACACAUCACACAGCCCAAGUCCCUCAGGAAGCCAAAAACCAGAGAAGGCAGGGGACUUGCCCAAGGUCACACAAUAAGUGGGUGACAGAGCCAGGAGCUAAAGGCAAGCCUCUCGAUCCCCAAGUCUGGGGCUCUGUGCCAUGUGCUAUAGGACUCCCCUCCUGAGGGAAACCUCUAUAUUUCAGAUGAGAAAGACACAAGGAUUUUUGUGCCAUGUAUUUAUCUUUGCAUCUGGACUUCACACACUGGAAUCUCAGAGUGGAAGCUCAUUGCUAUCACUUCCUCACAAUAACGUCUAUUGCCCUGACCUAUAAAGCUGCAGCCUUUUUAACCCAAACCAGCCGGAGCCACUGCUGAGUUAGAUGAUAACAGCAGGAGCCAUUAUUUACGGAACACCGGUCAAAGUUCUCCAGUGCAAAAGGUGAGAGAUUUUAAGGAAUUGGCUCAUGAGAUUUUGGGGGCUGGCCAGUCUGAAAUCCUGAAUCCUGUAAGGCAUACAUACCACCAGGCUGGAAAUUGCAGCAGGAGUCCAUGUUGCAAUCUCAAGUCCAAAGGCAGUCUGAAGCAGACUUUCUUCCUCCUGAGGGGACUGCAGUCUUUUCCUCCAAGACCUUCAUCUGUUUCGAGGCUCUCUCACAUUACUGAAAGCUCUUCAAAACCGAUCCCCACCUAAUCGUGCAAAUUUCCAAAGAUCCAGGCUCCCAGCCACUAAGUGAAGUAGACUGAGGAUCUGCUUUAGGGGCUGGCCUAGAAAGAGACGCCCAAAACCAGGAUCCCUCGGGCAAGUGACCCCUAAGCCUCGCCCUGCGCUCCGCCCUCCCUCUGCCCUCCUUCCUCUUCCCGCCUGGGGCAGAAGCAGAAGUGUCUGAAUGCCGGCAGGAAACGGGCCGGGAGCUCCCGGGGUUCCCAGCGCGCCUGGCCAGGGGGGAGGUCCUGCGCGCAGCCGAGCGAGGCGCCGACUCGCGCGGCAGGGACGCCGGGCCAACGAGGCCCGCCAGGGGGCGCUGCGGCGCGGGCCCGCUGCCGGGGGCGUGGCCGGCAGACGCGGAGGGCGUCGCCGCUGGUCACACUUCCUCAGAAAGAAGCCGAGGGACCUUGAGCCCAGAGUAGGGAGAAGCUCUUUGGCUGCUACCCCCAGCAGGAUUCGCGUUGGGCCCUGAGGGCAGGUCCUCUGUCUUGCUGGCUGCUGCACCGUCACUUCCUGGAACAGUGCAUAAUAAAUGCCGUAUUCACCAAAUAUUGAUUGAAAGCCUGCUAAUGCCAGGAAAUGUCCUUGGCACUGGGGAUAAAUGAGUGAACAAAACAAAGCCCAAGCUCUUGUGAGGUUUAUAUUCUGUUGCUGCAGGGAGGGGAGGCAGGGAAGACGAGCAAUAAGAUAGAAGUAGUAAAAAGCAGCACAUGGAUGUCAGAGGGAAUAAAUGCUAUGUAAAGCAGAGUAAGGGGAUAAGGAGUUGUAGAGUGGAGUGGGGAUUGUUAUUUUCUGCAGUGUUGUCAGGGAAGGCCUCUCAGAGGGAGACGCUUUAGCAGAUACCUAAAAGAAGGGGCGACAGCACCCAAGCAGCUAGCUGAGGUAAGAGCAGAAAAAUAACAAACACUUCACACUUGUGUGAAUGAGUUUCCAAGUAGGGCACCGAACUGGGCAAUGGUUCCUCUGAGACACCUAGGCGCCCUCUCUCCAGACUUGUCUGCCCCCCUUCAACCAUCCAUCCAUCCAUCCAUCCAUCCAUCCAUCCAUCUAUCCAUUUUCUUAGUCAGCAGUCAGUGGAGCACCUGCCUACUUUAUGCUGGACUGUAUGCUGGGUGUAUUUCAUUUUCAUAUCCUCUACAGCCAGGAUAUGGAAGUAAAAAAGACAUACUGCUUGAAAGAAAAAAGGGCCUCCACCUUCACUCUGGUGGGACAGAGACUGUCACAGCCUUCCUGGAGAGUAAUUUGAUAACUUUUUUUUUUUUUUUUUUUUUUUUAAGAUUUUCAAGCAAUCUAUACUCCCAACGUGGAGCUCAAACUCACAACCCCGAGAUCCGGAGUUGCCAGUUCUUCCAACUGAGCCAGUCAGGCGCCCCAACAGCAUCUUACUUGUAAAUGUACUUACCCUUUGUAGAUGGAACUAGAGUGUGUUAUGCUAAGCAAAAUAAGUCAGUCAGAGAAAGACAAAUAUCAUAUGACUU